rnacentral:rRNA from 1 species
GACGAACGCUGGCGGCGUGCCUAAUACAUGCAAGUAGAACGCACAGUUUAUACCGUAGCUUGCUACACCAUAAACUGUGAGUUGCGAACGGGUGAGUAAACCGUCGCUAACCUGCCUGAUAGCGGGGGAUAACUAUUGGAAACACUAGCUAAUACCGCAUAAUACUGAUUAUUGCAUGAUAAUUGAUUGAAAGUUGCUAUUGCAUCACUACCAGACGGCCCUGCGUUGUAUUAGCUAGUAGGUGAGGUAACGGCUCACCUAGGCGACGAUACAUAGCAGACAUGAGAUGGUGGUCGGCCGCACUGAGACUGAGACACGCCCCAGUGGGAUAGGGGAGGCAGCAGUAGGGAUUCUGCAGCAAUGAGUGAAAGUCUGACCGAGCAACGCGGCGGGAGUGAGGAGGGUUGUCGGAUCGUAGAGCUCGGUUGUAAGAGAAGAACGGGUGUGAGAGUGGAAAGAACACAGUGUGACGGUAUCUUACCAGAAAGCGACGGCUAACUACGUG